rnacentral:rRNA from 1 species
UUAAUAAGGGGAGGAAAAAGAAAAUACAAUGAUUCCCUUAGUAACGGCGAGUGAAGCGGGAAAAGCCCAGCGCUAAAUCUCCUCCUCUUAAACGGGGAGGCGAACUGUAGCGUUCGGAGCGCGUCAUCCGCGCACCACGAUGCGGCCCAAGUUCUCCCGACAGAGACGCCAGAGAGGGUGCAAGCCCCGUACGGCCGCGGACGGAGCGUGUAGACGUUGCUUCAGGAGUCGGUCUGUUUGAGAUUGCAGGCCAAAGUGGGAGGCAAACUCCUCCUAAGGCUAAAUACUGACACGAGUCCGAUAGC